rnacentral:rRNA from 1 species
UACGUAGGGGGCAAGCGUUGUCCGGAAUCACUGGGCGUAAAGCGCACGUAGGCGGCUUUUUAAGUCAGGGGUGAAAUCCUGGAGCUCAACUCCAGAACUGCCUUUGAUACUGGGAAGCUCGAGUCCGGGAGAGGUGAGUGGAACUCCGAGUGUAGAGGUGAAAUUCGUAGAUAUUCGGAAGAACACCAGUGGCGAAGGCGGCUCACUGGCCCGGUACUGACGCUGAGGUGCGAAAGCGUGGGGAGCAAACAGG